rnacentral:lncRNA from 1 species
AAAACACACAAAUACAGAAAUUAGGAGCCUGCUGUUGAAGGUAAUGAAUACUUCAAAUGCAGCUGCAAGUCUGUUGGAUAGCAGUUCAGAGACAGUAAGAGAGUCAGAAGUGAAGAGAGGAGCCAUCACAAAUUAGACGUCAGAUAAUGAAAAUGAAACUUCUCUAGAAUUAAGAUGUAAGUUGUUUUGAAAGCACAGUUUGGUGUAUGAAAGAUAGCUACAGACCCAUAUAUACAU